rnacentral:rRNA from 1 species
AGAGUUUGAUCAUGGCUCAGAUUGAACGCUGGCGGCAUGCCUUACACAUGCAAGUCGGACGGCAGCGCGGGGGCAACCCUGGCGGCGAGUGGCGAACGGGUGAGUAAUACAUCGGAACGUGUCCUGGAGUGGGGGAUAGCCCGGCGAAAGCCGGAUUAAUACCGCAUACGCUCUAUGGAGGAAAGCGGGGGAACUUCGGUCCUUGCGCUAUCGGAUGAACCCAUAUGGGAUUAGCUAGUUGGUGGGGUAAAGGCCUACCAAGGCGACGAUCUGUAGCUGGUCUGAGAGGACGACCAGCCACACUGGGACUGAGACACGGCCCAGACUCCUACGGGAGGCAGCAGUGGGGAAUUUUGGACAAUGGGGGCAACCCUGAUCCAGCAAUGCCGCGUGUGUGAAGAAGGCCUUCGGGUUGUAAAGCACUUUUGUCCGGAAAGAAAACCUCCGUCCUAAUACGGUGGGGGGAUGACGGUACCGGAAGAAUAAGCACCGGCUAACUACGUGCCAGCCGCCGCGGUAAUUC